GCCUAAAGCGUCCGUAGCCUGUUCUAUAAGUUUCCGGUUAAAUCCAUUAGCUCAACUAAUGGGCUGCCGAAAAUACUGUAGAACUAGGGAGUGGGAGAGGUAGACGGUAUUCGGUAGGAAGGGGUAAAAUCCUUUGAUCUAUUGAGGACCACCUGUGGCGAAGGCGGUCUACCAGAACACGUUCGACGGUGAGGGAUGAAAGCUGGGGGAGCAAACCGGAUUAGAUACCCGGGUAGUCCCAGCUGUAAACUAUGCAAACUCAGUGAUGCAUUGGCUUGUGGCCAAUGCAGUGUUGCAGGGAAGCCGUUAAGUUUGCCGCCUGGGAAGUACGUACGCAAGUAUGAAACUUAAAGGAAUUGGCGGGGGAGCACCACAAGGGGUGAAGCCUGCGGUUCAAUUGGAGUCAACGCCAGAAAUCUUACCCGGAGAGACAGCAGAAUGAAGGUCAAGCUGAAGACUUUACCAGACAAGCUGAGAGGUGGUGCAUGGCCGUCGCCAGCUCGUGCCGUGAGAUGUCCUGUUAAGUCAGGUAACGAGCGAGAUCCCUGCCUCUAGUUGCCACCAUUACUCUCAGGAGUAGUGGGGCGAAUUAGCGGGACCGCCGCAGUUAAUGCGGAGGAAGGAAGGGGCCACGGCAGGUCAGUAUGCCCCGAA
rnacentral:rRNA from 1 species